UAUUAUUUUACCUGACACUCUCUAUAGUUUACCAUGACACUCUCUUAGUUUACCUGACACUCUCCAUAAUUUACCUGCACACUCUCUAUAGUUUACCUGACAGCUCUCGUAGAGUUUACCUGACACUCUCUAUAUUUUACCUGACACUCUCUAUAGGCUUUAACCUAGCACUCUCUAUCAGUUUACCUGACACUCUCUAUAGUAUUACCUGACACUCUCUAU